AUGAAAAGAUUUCUUACAGUAGACAGGACCAUGCAUCUAUCUCUUUGUUCUGUAUUUAUGUUCUGAAUGAAUAGGAUUUUUUUUUUUUUUUUUUUGACAGGCAGAGUGGACAGUGAGAGAGAGAGACAAAGAGAAAGGUCUUCCUUUGCCGUUGGUUCACCCUCCAAUGGCCGCCGCGGCCGGCGCACCACGCUGAUCCGAUGGCAGGAGCCAGGAGCCAGGUGCUUUUCCUGGUCUCCCAUGGGGUGCAGGGCCCAAGCACCUGGGCCAUCCUCCACUGCACUCCCUGGCCACAGCAGAGGGCUGGCCUGGAAGAGGGGCAACCGGGACAGAAUCUGGCGCCCUGACUGGGACUAGAACCCGGUGUGCCGGCGCCGCUAGGCGGAGGAUUAGCCUAGUGAGCCGCAGCGCCGGCUAUCUUGUUGAGUUCUAAAGAAAACCUUGAUGUGGUCUAAUAGCAACUAAUGAAUCUAAGGAUCAAUUUGUCAACAACUGUUGUCUUUAAACUUUUAAGUUUUCAUUUCUGUGAACCUGAAAUAUCCAUCGGGUGAGGAUCCUUUUUUUCUGCCAAGGGCCAUUUGGAUAUUUAUAACAUCAUUUGCAGGCCAUACAAAAUUAUCAACUUAAAAAUUAGCUUGCUAUAUAUUUCUUGAAUUUCAGGUCCUACCUGUGGUUACCUUGGCAGGCAGACCAAAUUAUUUCAUGGGCCUUAAACAGCCCACAGGACAGA